UCUGGUCAGAACGAACGCUGGCGGCGCGUCUAAGCAUGCAAGUCGAACGGCAAGAGGUAGCAAUACCUCCUAGAGUGGCGGACUGGUGAGUAACACGUGGGUGACAUACCCUUCAGAUGGGGAUAGCUAUUAGAAAUAGUAGAUAAUACCGAAUACGAGCACAGGGGUUAGAGAUCUGUGAGGAAAGGAGCUAAGGCUCCGCUGAAGGAAUGGCCUGCGGCCCAUUAGCUAGUUGGUGAGGUAAGAGCCCACCAAGGCGAUGAUGGGUAUCCGGCCUUAGAGGGUGAACGGACACAUUGGGACUGAGAUACGGCCCAGACUCCUACGGGAGGCAGCAGCUAAGAAUAUUCCGCAAUGGGCGAAAGUCUGACGGAGCGACGCCGCGUGGAUGAAGAAGGCCGGAAGGUUGUAAAAAUCCUUUUGAAACUGAAGAAUAAGCGUUGUAGGGAAUGACAGCGUGGUGACAGUAGGUUUUGAAUAAGCAACGGCUAAUUACGUGCCAGCCGCAGC
rnacentral:rRNA from 1 species